rnacentral:rRNA from 1 species
UACGAAGGGGGCUAGCGUUGCUCGGCAUUACUGGGCGUAAAGGGCGCGUAGGCGGGUCGUUAAGUUGGGGGUGAAAGCCCAGGGCUCAACCCUUGAAUUGCCUUCAAUACUGGCGACCUUGAGUAUGGCAGAGGUGUGUGGAACUCCGAGUGUAGAGGUGAAAUUCGUAGAUAUUCGGAAGAACACCAGUGGCGAAGGCGGCUCACUGGCCCGGUACUGACGCUGAGGCACGAAAGCGUGGGGAGCAAACAGG